CCUACGGGUGGCAGCAGUGGGGAAUAUUGGGCAAUGGAGGAAACUCUGACCCAGCAACGCCGCGUGAAUGAUGAAGGUCUUCGGAUUGUAAAGUUCUGUCAGCAGGGAAGAACGGUCACUGUGCUAAUCAGCAGUGAAUUGACGGUACCUGCAAAGGAAGCACCGGCUAACUCCGUGCCAGCAUCCCCGGUAAUACGGAGGUUGCGAGCGUUACUCGGAAUUACUGGGCGUAAAGCGCUCGUAGGCGGUAUGUCAAGUCACGGGUGAAAUCCCCGCGCUCAACGUGGGAACUGCCUUUGAAACUGGCAAACGGGAGUGUGUGAGAGGGUAGUGGAAGUCCAGGUGUAGGAGUGAAAUCCGUAGAUAUCUGGAGGAAAAUCAGUGGCGAAGGCGACUAUCUGGCACAUAACUGACGCUGAGGAGCGAAAGCGUGGGUAGCAAACAGGAUUAGAUACCCUAGUAGUC
rnacentral:rRNA from 1 species